rnacentral:rRNA from 1 species
GACGAACGCUGGCGGCGUGCUUAACACAUGCAAGUCGAACGGAAAGGCCCUGCUUUUGUGUGGUGCUCGAGUGGCGAACGGGUGAGUAACACGUGAGUAACCUGCCCUUGACUUUGGGAUAACUUCAGGAAACUGGGGCUAAUACCGGAUAGGAGCUCCUGCUGCAUGGUGGGGGUUGGAAAGUUUCGGCGGUUGGGGAUGGACUCGCGGCUUAUCAGCUUGUUGGUGGGGUAGUGGCUUACCAAGGCUUUGACGGGUAGCCGGCCUGAGAGGGUGGCCGGCCACAUGGGGACUGAGAUAGGGCCCAGACUCCUACGGGAGGCAGCAGUGGGGAAUAUUGCACAAUGGGCGGAAGCCUGAUGCAGAAACGCCGCGUGCGGGAUGACGGCCUUCGGGUUGUAAACCGCUGUCGCCUGUGACGAAGCGUGAGUGACGGUAAUGGGUAAAGAAGCACCGGCUAACUACGUG